AGUCAUAGCAAACAGCCUUGAGGCAUCCCCUGAGAUACCAUCCAGACAUAUAAUCAAUGUGAGCUGUCCUUUUAUGGCUUCAGAGAAUAGUGAGCAAGAUUCAUUCCUUCAAAAUGGUGACAUCUGUGAAAGCUGUGGCCUUAUUUGGACAUGUUUUAUCCUGGAAUGAUAACACAAAGAAGGUGGGAUCUGUUCAACUGGAGAGAGUAUCCAGCCCAUGGAAACAGAAUUUGUGCCAGUGGAAAACCUUGGAUUAAUUCCAGUCAUACAUCAGCUUAAUUCUUCAUUCAUCAUAAGAUCAUGGAAGAAUCAAACAUCAAACACAUAAGCUGAAAUAUUCUUCUCGAUGACUUAGAGGAACAACAUGUUCUAGUAAUUGGCUUUCUUGUAUAAUGAAGAUUUCUCAAGUUGAAUACAUAAUCUUCCAGUUACCAAAAAAAAAAAAAAAUGUAGCAAAGAAGGCCUGGUUUAGCAGUUGUUGUUUUAACACUUUCCACGAGAAAACAUUUUCUGGUGCAGUUCUUUCCCUAAGUGUUUGACUUUACAUUUCCUGAGCUCCUUUGCUAUUUUUAAAAUUGCUCUGGGAAAGCCUGUGAGAGCAGUUUGGGUGGCCACUGAGAAUCCCUUCAGUGCCAUAUUUUUAAUGGCCAAACCAGCAGAUUUCACCAUUUGUGUUUCUUGUAUUUGGUCCUGGCUCCUUUCCCUUCUGCCACAAAUAAAGGUAAUUUGUGCUAGGAACAGGCAUCAACUCAAGCAAGCAGUUAAUCACACUUCAACAGCAUGCACAUUAUUAGCUUAUCAGGCAGAACCAUCCCAUCUCCCAUCAUGUUUUAUCUGUUUAUGAAGAAAAUGCCUUCCAUAAUUAUAAUUAAGAAACCAGAAUGACUCAGAGUUUGGAGGUGUCAGUAAGAAUAUAUUUUGUGCAGCCAAACUCCCUGUGUCUUGUGUGCAAAUGUGUCACA